CAGGGGUUCGAUUCCCCU
rnacentral:misc_RNA from 1 species